UAAGGUAAUAAAGGGGUUUAGCGCCACAUUCGACUAGCAAGGCGUCGUCGCCCCAUUCUAAAUUGGCCAACUAAGAGGUUUUGGAAAACCCUAGCUGCCUUCUCCCUUCCCUGUUUCACCGGUCGCCUGCUUUCCCAAUAGGACAGACUCUACGGCCUCCACUAAUAGCUCCAAUGGUCCAUCUCUUUCCUUCUCCCUCCCGUUUUGCGUUCAAUGGCGUACGUCAAUGUCUGAAUUGCAUUUUGUUUGUCUUACAGCGGUUUUGAUCUGGUAGCAACAAGCGAGAACAAGAAGAUCGGGUGGUCCGCUCCUACUCCGACUAAAUCUAUCUCAAGCUCUUCGUCAAGAUGAAAAGCAAAAAGUCGAAGACAGCUACAACUUCCGUCUCUAUUGUUGAUUUGAAGUCCAUCAUUCAUCAGUAUGCAAUGUUCUUCGACAAGUUAGUGGAGCUCAUCCCUGCAAGAUUCUACUUACCUAAUGACGAAAACGACAAACCUUGGUUUCAGGGCCUUAGCAACACUGAGAAGGCUUUGGCUAAGAAGGAAUCAAAGGAAAAUCUUAAGAAAGCUCGAAGAGAUCGAAUGGACCCUGAAAAGUCAGCUAGAUCAACCCUUGAUUUGCUGAAGCAAAACUUGGAAAAGAAAAAGUUAGAAGAUGAAAGCGAUGAUAAUGAAAUGGAUGUUAAGCCAGUAACGUCUGGGUUGGAUGGUGAUGUUCAAUCAGUUACAUAUGAAGAGCUUCGACAACGUCUUCAUCGAAAGAUUGAAGAGUUCCGAGCAAAUAGAAAUACAGGAUGUUCGAAUAGGGAAAAGAAGAGGAAUGAAAGAAAUGAGAGGAGGGAACUUAUUCAGAAGAAACGCAAGAGAGGACAUGGUCCUGAGGAAAAGAAAUUAGCAGGCCACCACUCAAGAGAUGAAGUGGAGAAGAAUGUAGAUGAAGCCUCUAAAGAACUUGCAUUUAGUCAUGUCAAACUCGGGACUGAAGAAGAGCAUGGGAAGAAAAAGAAGAGAAAGCUCUCCAAGUUGGAGGAGCUUGAAAGAGCUAAAAAAUUAGACGAAGCAAAGAGAGAUCCUGAGAAAGGCGAGAUAAUCUCAAAGAAGCAUUCUUGGAAAGCAGCCACAAGUAGAGCUGCGGGGGCUAAGGUCCACGAUGAUCCAAAACUCCUGAUGAAGAGCUUAAAGAAGGAAAAGAAACAGCAGCUGAAGAAUGUCGAGAAAUGGAAGGAUAGGAUUGAAACAACCCAGAAGAUGAAAGCAGAAAGACAACAAAAGAGGUCAGAAAACAUUUCACAGAAAAUUCACGAUAAGAAGAUGCGGCGAAUUGCAAAGAGGGAGAAGAAACUUGUGCGUCCUGGCUUUGAAGGUCGCAAAGAAGGUUUCAUCAACGGAAGCACCCCAUAAAGUGAAAGCAGUGGUUGGCUUACUGGAUCAUCUAUUCCUUUCUCACUCUCAUGGAGAUGGUUGUUCUGCAACCUUUGUUAGAGUGCUUCAUUAUUUGCGUUGCAGGAUAGCAGUUUGGUAUUGGGUGAAAUUGGUAUUUGGGGCAUGGCCGGUUCUGCCACAGCUCAAAGGUGCAGCUUUCUUGUAUGAAAGAUUCGUGAGGCAGCAGAUUAAGAAACAUGGUUUGGGAAGCAAUUCUCCUGAUGCGUUGAUUCACUAACUGGUACACAUGUCUCUUGUUUUCGUAUGGUGUGCGAAAAUAAUUGGUAUUGGCUUUGUAUAUAGACAGUUUAAAGAAUUUCAAUUCAUCCAAAACUGUGUAUAAGUUGCACAUCUUUUCAUUUUAGUAUUACUGCGAAGUAAGAGAGUUUAUAUGAC